CCCCCUGCAACCAUAGUCGUCUCAGAUCUAA
rnacentral:piRNA from 1 species